rnacentral:rRNA from 1 species
UACAGAGGUGGCAAGCGUUGCUCGGUAUCACUGGGCUUAAAGGGCGCGUAGGCGGUGCGGUGCGGUUUCGGUGAAAUCCCUCGGCCCAACCGAGGAACAGCCGAGGCUACGGCCGCGCUAGACGGCAUCAGGGGACAGUGGAACUCCCGGUGGAGCGGUGAAAUGCGUAGAUAUCGGGAGGAACGCCGGUGGCGAAAGCGACUGUCUGGGGUGCCUGUGACGCUGAGGCGCGAAAGCUAGGGGAGCAAACGGG